rnacentral:rRNA from 1 species
UACGGGGGGGAGCAAGCGUUGUUCGGAUUUACUGGGCGUAAAGGGCGCGUAGGCGGCGCAACAAGUCACUUGUGAAAUCUCCGGGCUUAACCCGGAACGGUCAGAUGAUACUGCUUUGCUAGAGUGCAGAAGGGGCAAUCGGAAUUCUCGGUGUAGCGGUGAAAUGCGCAGAUAUCAGGAGGAACACCGGUGGCGAAGGCGGGUCUCUGGGCCGAUACUGACGCUGAGGAGCGAAAGCGUGGGGAGCGAACAGG